rnacentral:rRNA from 1 species
AAGGUAUGCAAGUCGAACGAUCCCUUUCUGAUUUCUAGUAACUUCGGUUGCUAGUUUUCUAUCUGGGAUAGUGGCAAACGGGUGAGUAACACGUAGAUAACUUGCCUCGAAGUCGGGAAUAGCUCGUCGAAAGACGGGGUAAUAUCCGAUGGUCUCUAACCACUUCGUGUGUUUUAGAGUAAAGCUUUUGUGCUUCGAGAGAGGUCUGCGUCCUAUCAGCUAGUUGGUAAGGUAAUGGCUUACCAAGGCUAAGACGGGUAGCUGGUGUGAGAGCACGGUCAGCCACCAUGGAACUGAGACACGGUCCAUACUCCUACGGGAGGCAGCAAUUAGGAAUCUUGCGCAAUGGGGGCAACCCUGACGCAGCGACACAGCGUGGAGGAUGAAGGUCUUCGGAUUGUAAACUCCUUUUAUAUGGGAAGAAUAGAUGACUGUACCAUAUGAAUAAGGACCUGCUAACUACGUGCCAGAAGCAUCGGUGAUGCGUAGGGUCCGAACGUUAUCCGGAUUUAUUGGGUGUAUAGAGAUGCGUAGGCGGUUUGAUAAGUCUUGAGUUAAAGACCUCGGCUCAACCGAGGAAAAGCUUUCGAUACUAUCAGACUUGAGGCAUAGAGGGGUGAACGGAAUUCCGAGUGGAGUGGUGAAAUACGUUGAUAUUCGGAGGAACAUCAGUGGCGAAGGCGGUUCACUGGCUAUUGCCUGACGCUCAGGCUCGAAAGCGUGGGUAGCAAAACGGAUUAGAUACCCGUGUAGUCCACGCUGUAAACUAUGGAUGCUAGGUGUUCGGUACAACUGUUUUUAAUCUUCGGAUUUUAAACGGGAGUGCUGAGUGCCGCAGCUAACGCGUUAAGCAUCCCACCUGGGAAGUACGG